UCUCUUCUCAGCCUUUUGGCUAAGAUCAAGGGUAGUAUGUGUCCAUAU
rnacentral:snRNA from 1 species